AACAAGUUGCUUGUUUGAUACCAAUUAGAAAAGAUCUGCGUUCUUGAAAGUAGGUAGACGAUGAAGUUGGUGAUGCUAAUGAUAUUGAUUGUUGUGGGUUCAACCUCAUUUGCUAUUCAACUUGAAGUGGAAGCAAGGAAGGA